UGCUCGAGGAAAAACACAGGCGCCCACCCCCCCGCUACGUCCGGCAACCUCCUGGCAAGCCUUCCUUCCGCCCUGUUUGAAGAUUUUUUUUUUUAUUCCUAAAAUUGCUUUUCCAUGCAGAGACCCCUCUUCCAGCCACUGGAAAAUUAUUUUCACAUAGUUGCUAUGUCCCGCUUUUCUUGCUUUCGCGAUCCCUCCAGCCCCCCCGCGCGCGUGUCCACGCAGGCACAGACACACCGGUGCCUGCCUCCUCCCAUUCCAAAUGCAAACCCACUUCCUUUUGCCGGUUGCUGUAGUUAAGCUAAGUCAAUGCUACAUCAAACUAGGCUAGGCUGAGAGGACUGGAAAGUGGAUUUAGGGGACAAUACUGCCCCAGCAGGAAGAAAGGCUCUAGUUUGGCGUUCUGUUGAUUUAACAGUUUAAAACGAAAAUGGAUUUUGUAGCUUCUGCACUAAAACUCAGGCCCCUUGAGUCACAAUUAUUUAAAGGGAGCUAUUCUCUAAAGUCCAUUAUAUGAUAUAAAAAUGUAAACGGAUAUAAUGUCGUCUUUCUCUCUCUCCUCACAAAAUGGUAUUUUAGAACCAAAUCUUUCAGUCUUAAUAAUUGGGUGGCUGAAAGGUGUGUUUUUUUUUUUUCUGCAAGAAGACAUUCUUUACUUGCUUCCCCUUACUCUUUAUACAGAUAUUUAUAGAAAGUAAAAUUUAAAUAAAAACCAGCAUAUCUGUGUAAGAUGCUCUUAAAAGUAUUUGAAUCCUUGCAGGAAGACUUGAAACAACCUCUUAAAGGCAGUUUAUAUUGUUUUCUUUCUGAAUCCCGUUUCCAAAUGCUGCCUAUUUUUAUUCAAACCAAUUGUGUUUUUCCAAGAGUUCACACUUCCACUUGUAAAUUCCCCACUGGAGGUCGAAAUCCUCUGUGAAAUAAACAUUUCCACAGCAACCCAGUGAUGUCAGAAACGUCGGCUAGUGAUUUCAGAGGGGAAAUAAAACAGGAGCAAAGAAUGGCUCUAGAAAGACAGUUCCUUCAUCCUUGCGAAUAGCAUGCCUCCUGGUAGAAAUUCAGAAAACAUUUCUGGCUAAAUACCUGUUUUCUUUUUCUGAGAUUGACUUAUUUUUCAAAGGCAUGUCAAAUGAUCUUUAAAAAAAAAAUAGGUCACCAUCCUCUUUUCUGGAUUGGUGAAGAAUGCUGUUUCAAAUCAGUGGUGCCUAACCACACUGGCCACUGUAGAUUUUUAUAAGGGGGGGAUAUAUUUUUUCUAAAAAUUGAUGUUGGAGAGAACAUUGAAAGAUGAAAUUUUACGUACUAACUUCAGGCCCAAAUAAUGCUGACUGACCUGGCUUCAAACUUACAAUAGUUUUUUUAAAGUAUUAGGCACACAGAAGUUCUAUUCAGUUAUCGAAAUUGGUGCUGAUCUCACCAAUAUUGAAUAAAGGGGCUUCUCCAUUGUUCCCUCUAUUGUUUCCUGUGUCUCCUGGCUGAGAAAAAGAAGGGAGGAAUUCUUCAUACUGCCCCUAAUUCAAUCCCCUUGCAGUCCCACCCCUAUAAACAUUAAAUGUAAAGAGACCAGAAAAUAUUAAAUUAGGCCCAAUGCCUGUGUUUUCUUAGGCUUCCUAUCUAAAUAACAUUUAUACAGAGCAUUAUAGAAAUGUCCACUUUGUAAACUGCUUUUCAUACAUACGUUAGCCCAAGUUAACAUUCUGUUCCUGCAGCCACUCACUGAUUCCCUGAUUUUAGCUCAGGUCCCACAUUCACACCAAUGGAAGUUCAUUCUGUCUGUGUUAUCCCAUCAUCUAUUUGUUGGAUAAAUGGAUUCAUUUCUCACAACAAUUUUGGGAGAAUCAGGACUCUUUAUCUCCAUUUUACAGAUGUGGAAAGAGGCUCAGAGAUGCUAAAUAACCUAACCCAGGUCCUGCAGCUACAAAGUGAUAGAAAUUGAACCUAAACUUUGUGACCCCACCUACCUCUUUCUUCCAGAUCUAACUGAGCCCAUCACAGGCCUGCUCUUCUAUGAACAUUUCCCCCCUGCAUACCAGAUGGAGGAUGUGCAGGGGACCCCAGGUGACCGGAUGAGAGCUCUGCCUCUCCAGAGCCAUAGAGAUUUUCACCAGAGCCAUAGAGAGGCGUGCUCUCUCUGCUGGGAGAGCAAGGCUGGGAGAAUGUGUAAGCCUGGCGCUCUUCCAGGCCAUUUGACUCCCACCGGAAUGAACCCAGCUGCUUAAGAAUGAAGCCAGCUCAGAAGGAAAGAGAGCCUGAGAGGAAGCACUGCAGAUUCCUGACUUAGAUCCUUUGAGUAACUGGAUCCAGCCCAACCUGAAGCUAGACACCUCCCUGGACUUUCUAAGUGUGUAAGCCAAUAAACGUCUCCUCAUUAUAA